rnacentral:rRNA from 1 species
GGCGCAGGCGGCUCUUUAAGUCAGGUGUGAAAUCUCCCGGCUUAACCGGGAGGGGUCAUCUGAUACUGGAGGGCUUGAGGGCAGCAGAGGGGGACGGAACUCCCGGUGUAGUGGUGAAAUGCGUAGAUAUCGGGAAGAACACCAGUGGCGAAAGCGGUCCCCUGGGCUGUUCCUGACGCUGAGGUCCGAAAGCGUGGGGAGCAAACCGGAUUAGAUACCCGGGUAGUCCACGCCCUAAACAUUGAACACUAGGUAUGGGAAGUAUCGACCCUUUUCGUGCCGAAGCUAACGCCUUAAGUGUUCCGCCUGGGGACUACGGCCGCAAGGCUAAA